rnacentral:misc_RNA from 1 species
GUAGAUUUCAGUCCGGUAGCAGACGACCCACCCCCCUCUGAUGACGUGGUUGUUCCUUCUAGAUCUCAAACUCCUACCAGCGGAUUUUUCCCGCAUCCGGGGUUGGAUUCCGAUUUCCACAGACCUUUCAGAGAAGGGACCCAAAAUAAGUUUAAACAGACAAUUCUACAGCGUUAUUUGAGUGACACAUGCAACCAAACUUCGGGCACACAUGUGGACAUGGAAAUGUCAGCUUUCAACAAAACUCGAUCUCGAAAACCAUCAGGGUCUAUUGGGUCACGUGACUACGAAGAAAUGUCCACAGCCUCUGGGUUUUCUUCUGCUGCUGAGAGUCAAUUUUACUACCCCAUGGACGGUAAGAAAGUGUUGUAUGUAAAAAAAAUUACAUGUACACGCAUUUAAAGUUUAUUUCAAGAGUUUAAAAAGAAAUUGAAAAUUUGAAUUGAUCUUUACAGAAAGUCCGUACGAAAUGCAAGUAAUUGUGUAUGUUGUUCGUUAGGCUUAAUGUUGCCGUAUCAUUGCUCUUAAAGAGGAUCAGACAAGAAUAAGGAGUGGGCAUUUUUAGUCAAAAUCUUGAAGGUCAACUAACAAGAAUGUACGACAAAAAACGUAAAAAGUGCGCUGACAUUGCGCGUUCUUUACUUGAAAGUUAAAGACCGUGCUCUUGUUCAAUUCAAACUCAAACUUCUUUAGUGCAAUUUUGUGUGAAGCCCUCGCGUUUCACGCAUAUGAUUAUUCAGUUGGAUAUACUAGCAAAACUUUCCGGCAGAGCGUCUUCUUUGCUAACCCGAGAUUGGUGAAGGACUUUGAGAAGGUUAUCCUGUAGAUAACACCUCUUGAACUCGACACAUACUUGGUUCAAUAACAAGGCACAGUCAGUGAUAAGUAGUUGAUCCCUGCCCCGAUCCUCCACACAAUCUACAUGUCUUGCAGCUCAGGGGGAGGGCUGCUUUCUCUAUUCAGAAAGGUUGUUUGUAUUACUUACCUUUUUAAUCCACUACGGAUUAAAUAUUGACAAAGUCACGAACGGACAACACGUGAUGUUAAGAUAUUGCCACUUUUUUCUAUUAAACACGUGAUGACAUCUUUUGCGAAUGCGAAUACCUACGGUAUUUAGUAAAGUUGUUAUUGUAUACUGUGCAACAUGUGCACAGUUUGGCAAUUGUUCCCACGAUUAGUGCAUGAUCAUGGAAAAAAAGAUGCAAUAUAAAGUGUCAAGGCCUAUUAAGAUGAUAAGAAUAUGCGACCUUCAUGGGUGCAGAUCUGUUAUAUUGCAUCAUGUCCAGGAUAUAGUACUUUUGUCGAUAAACACUGUACAAUCCAUAGUCAGUGCUGUACGUUCACCAAACACAACACGAGCUCUUCAGUUAAGAGGGUAAAACUUUUUGAAGAGUUGUUUGUUAAAGUCAGAAUGCAUUAGCUUUUAUGUACACGCCCUAAUCGACUGGGAAGCGAACAUGAAUCAUACUUGGAUUAUGAUAUCAAGAGUGAAGAUUUUUUUUUUAAUUCCAUCAAGUCAAUUAGACCACUGACGUUAAACUUCCUUACUAAAGACUGGCUUUCAAUCGCCGAGUUUUGAGGAAACACAUCCAGAUUAACCAAGGUCAAGGACAGCACGUGCAUGAUGCAAGGAUAAGAUCUAUUAUCAACUUAUUUAUUUCCUGCAAUUUUACAUCAUUCUCGGUACAACCGCCAACGAUGUCAGGGGAAAUACAGUAUGCAUGCCAGCCUGAGCCAAAGAUCGAAAAUACAAUUUUCCUGGUCCAGUUCUUGAGCUCUUUUUAUAAUCUUAUUUAGAUUAAAAGCUAAUAUAGGCCUCCUAGAAAAUUUUGGGAAUAGUAUAUAAAUCAGAAAAGGAAAGUAAUCACAGUUCUAUUCAGACAUGAAGUUAUUAUUUGUUCGCAUAGUGUUAAUGACAAUUUUACUCCAUUUCGAAAUUUCGAUGGUGUUAUUUUUGAAGGAAAAAAUUAUUAUAUUUUAACACAUUUUCAAGUUAUGAUCCUUUAUCGAAAAAUCAACAAAAAGGCAUAAGAAAAUAAUGCACAUUAGCCUGUCCUUGAGCUGCAAUUAUUUUAGCGCCAAUAUUUCAUAUUGACUUUUAAUGGAUGAAACCAAUGGUUUGCUGCAAUAAAGAAAUAGGAUAGGGAAUUCAAGUGCCUCAGAUUUAUGAUUUGUCGGAUGUUUUGAAAGAAAAUAGAACUUAUCCUCUUUUAAAACUCAUAUUAAGUUAAACUUUGAUCAGAACAAACUCUUAAAAGGCCUUUUUCAAUUUCAGACCCGAUUGAUGAUUUGGAAGCCGCCGCUAGGAGGCGCAGGAUCUCAGGAGAUGUUAGACGCCAAGAGGAUAUUCACUGGAAGGAGAUCAGCGCUGCCAUGGCUCUGACGUCACUGGCACGUGGUUCGAGCCGAUACCCGUUUCAUUAGAUAUUUCGCACACAUUGUACGGGAUCCUUUAUUUGAUAAAGACGGCCAGUGUUACCAACCACAGUGAUCUCCCCUUGCUCGAAGCUGAUCGAGGAGUGUUUUUACUUUUACAUUUUUUUCCUUAAAUAUAUUAUCUCAAAUCUUCAGGGACAGAGUUUAAUACUUUUAAGUGUUCAGUGCAAGUUUUUGUAUAGAAUGAGCGAUCGGAUGACUGGUUUUUUUUUUAUUCCGUGACUCGGUCCUUCGUCAAAUGGCAAAAGUGACUGUGUUUUUGUGUACAGAUAUUCCACAUUAUUUUUAAUCAUUGUUCAUAGAUGAUUUCAUUGCCAUGGUUAUAGUAGUUAGUUGUAAACGUUUACAAGAUGAUAUAUUUUAAAAACUUUUUAAUUGUUAUAUAUUAUAUACUACUAGUGUAUGGACCUUCGGGUUCCCAUAAAUGUGGAGAGCGUGGGCGUUGUAGCCGUCAGCAGCGCCGUGUUGGAAUGGAAAGGGACAUCUAAUAAUUCUAUAAAUAUAUUUCAACAC